rnacentral:rRNA from 1 species
AGCUUCUUGAAAAUAUAAGAGGUUAUUUCUGCCCGGUGUAAAUAUUUAUUAACGGCCGCGGUACUCUGACUGUGCGAAGGUAGCAUAAUCAUUUGCCUUAUAAUUGAAGGCUGGAAUGAAUGAAUAAACAAGAAAAUUGCUGUCUCUGAUUUUUUUAUAAAAUUUGCUUUGGGAGUGAAGAAGCUUCCUUGAAGAAAUUAGACGAGAAGACCCUAUUGAGCUUUACUAUAUAAUUAUAUUUUUAAUAAAAAUUUAUUUUCUUAUUAUAUGAUUUAUUAGUUUAGUUGGGGCGACUAAGGAAAUUAAUUGAUCUUCCUUAUUUUUUUUAACUUUGGUUUAAUUUUUUGAUCCUUUAUUAAAGAUUAAAAGAACAAGUUACCAUAGGGAUAACAGCGUAAUCUUUUUUUAAAGUUCUUAUUGAAAAAAAGGUUUGCGACCUCGAUGUUGGACUAGGAUAUCCUGAAGGUGCAGAAGUUUUCGAUGGUUAGUCUGUUCGACUAUUAAAAUCCU